rnacentral:rRNA from 1 species
GAUGAACGCUGGCGGCGUGCCUAAUACAUGCAAGUCGAGCGAACAGACGAGGAGCUUGCUCCUUCGACGUUAGCGGCGGACGGGUGAGUAACACGUAGGUAACCUACCUAUAAGACUGGGAUAACUUCGGGAAACCGGAGCUAAUACCGGAUAAUAUUUCGAACCGCAUGGUUCGAUAGUGAAAGAUGGCUUUGCUAUCACUUAUAGAUGGACCUGCGCCGUAUUAGCUAGUUGGUAAGGUAACGGCUUACCAAGGCAACGAUACGUAGCCGACCUGAGAGGGUGAUCGGCCACACUGGAACUGAGACACGGUCCAGACUCCUACGGGAGGCAGCAGUAGGGAAUCUUCCGCAAUGGGCGAAAGCCUGACGGAGCAACGCCGCGUGAGUGAUGAAGGUCUUCGGAUCGUAAAACUCUGUUAUUAGGGAAGAACAAACGUGUAAGUAACGGUGCACGUCUUGACGGUACCUAAUCAGAAAGCCACGGCUAACUACGU